AAAGUAUUUUAUGUGACAAUCUUUUGUGACAAAAUCAAAUUUUGUCACAAUAAAGGGAGAUAUUAUGACAAAAUUUCACAUUGUCACAUAAGUGAAUAUUUUAGGUGAUGAAGGUUAAUUUCGUCACAUAAACUUCAUUUUAUGUGACAAUAAUGAAAAACCGUCACAAUAGAAUAUACAAAAUUUUUAAACAUUUGACGGGCACUAUCUUGCGACAAAUAUUUAGGUUUCUCAUGACAAAGUAAUUUCGUCACAUUCUUUUUUUGUUGUGACAAAAUUAUUUCGUCGCUACAUACAAAUAAUCUAAAUUACUUAUUACUAGAAAAUCUUCCCCCAAUUUUCUAGACUUAGUCCGAUCCCUUUCUUUUUUUUUCUCUCUCAUAAAUCCCCUUCUCUUUCCUUCUCAUUUUCUUUACCCGAGCGAUCUGCUCUUCGAUCUGGCUUUCGCGUCCACCAUCAUCGUUGCACCGCCAGUGUUCGUUUGCCUUCGCCACCGCCAGUGUUCGUUUGCCUUCGCCACCGCCAGUGUUCGUUUUCCUUCGCCACCGCCAGUGUUCGUUUGCCUUCACCACCUCCCGUGUUCGUUUUCAUUCGCCACCGCCAGUGUUCGUUUGCCUUCGCCACCGCCAAUCUCAAUCGAUUCAGGUUCAGGGCGUGGAAGGUUAAAAACCAAAGUAUUUCCUUCUUGUACGACGAGGCAAAGAAAUUGAUGGGUAGUUUUAGUAAGUUCCAAAUCAUGCACGUUCUAUGGGACUUAAACUCCGAGGCUAGCUGAUGCUCAAGCUAACUUAGUUGUCGAUCUUGCUGGUAAGACACACACACACACACACA